rnacentral:lncRNA from 1 species
CACAUACACACAUACACAUACCCACCCACACAAUUUUGCCAUUUUAAAUUUGUAUAGCAGAUGCUUGCAAGUUUUGAGAACAAAUCUUCACAUAUCUUAUUUGCUCUCAGUGCAUUUUGCUGAUCUGGAUAGCUAGGACCCAUCCUAUAAAAGUCUUAACUAUUUCUACCCCCACAGACCAGUACACGCCCUAUUGAUCUCUGCAAGGAAAACUGUCCUGGACUGACACAUCAGCUUCAGAGAGCACCUUUUUUAGCCUUUCUGGAGAGGUUACAAGAUUCUUUCCACAUGAUUGUAGUGUAGCUGGAGGAUAGGGAAGCCUAUUAGAAACCCCUGUUGAGUCAGAGUCUGGUGAGGUGUGAGAAGAAACAAAGGAAUCUGCCUUCAACUGGUUUUUCAAAGCUGGAGAAAUCCUGGGAGGAGAAGAAAAAAGGAGAGGUAAAUGCAUGCUGGGAAACAAAGAUGAGAAGAUUGAGUCCUGGGAAAGGGAAGUCAAGUGUAAGGUCCAAUAUAAAGACACUGGAAUCAUAGAACCCAGCAUGUGAUUUUCCACCAUCAAUCAAGGAAUUGGAGAGAAAAAUGAGAGAAAGAUGGACCACCUUCUCAUUGACUAUUCAUCAAUUAGAGAUGUCUUCAGAUGUGUAGAGGAGGGAUGAAUAGUUCCAAAGUUGUAUUAAUUGAUCCUUAUGGUGAGAUUUCUUGGUCUUUGAUCACCGAGAAAGAUUAUUGAUCAAUUAAUUUAUUGACCAUUGAUUGCCUAAUCAAUAAAUUUAUUUUCUUGUCCCUAAAGUCA